GGCUGGUCAGAGUGGUGUUUACAGCUAAUUGAUCACAACCAGUUACAGCUUUCUUUGUUCCUACUCCACUCCCAUUGCUUCUCUUACUAGCAUUAA
ensembl:Y_RNA Y_RNA Y RNA